CUCUUUCUCUUUUCCAAGCCCAAACCCUGCGUUUUCUCUUUCUCUCUCUUGGACGAACCUUUCCUUUCUCUUACCUGUGUCAAAACCUCUCAUUUCACAAUCUCUCAUUCAACCGACCCUUUUCCUCAUCUCUCUCAUCUUUUUGUUUUCUAACCAAACGUUACCAUUAGGUUAUCGAUGGCUUUUUCCUUCUACAAACCGGAACCACCGUGUUAUAGAGAACUGGCGGCAUAGUCUAUUUACAAAGAGAGAUGCAUUCUGGUAAAUGAUAAAUUUUCAUAAUUCUUGACACAAUUGAGCAAGUGGAUGGGAUAAACAUUGUUGCGGCUGACCAUGGGAGUGCAGAAGACCAUAUUUUGUUAAGGAGCGGGAUGGAAUUGAUAAGCUAAUACUCAAAGAAUUGAAUUGAUUUAUGCCUACAAGAUAAAGAUUGGAGAUGAGUACGCAAAAUGGUCGUCGACGGCAAGAGACCGAGAUCCAUCGAUACUGAGAGAGACUAUCCAGUAAUUGCAUAUUAAUUACACACUGAUUCUUCAUUUGAAGAACUAGAUAUCUGUUUAAUUUCGAAAGUGGAUCAUCCCCAGUUUGUUUCACAAUUUCGUCCAAUAUCAUUGUGUAACACUAACUACAAGAUAGUGAGCAAGAUUAUCGUUGGAAGACUGAAAAGCUGCAUGGACAAGCUUAUCUCUCCUUUCCAAACGGGGUUCGUGCCGGGUCGUUCUAUCCAUGAGAAUAUUAUUAUAACCAAAGAAGUUAUGAAUAUCCUGCACAAGAGAAAAGGAAAGAAAGGAGAUAUCAAAGUACAAGGAGUUUGAUCCAUUGGAUUGUUUACUAUUGCUAAUAGUAUUUGUAUACUCUUCGUUCUUUGACUAAAUGCUCCCGAUCUCUCUCUAAUCACUUUUAAAUUCAA